rnacentral:rRNA from 1 species
CCUACGGGUGGCAGCAGUGGGGAAUAUUGCACAAUGGGGGAAACCCUGAUGCAGCGACGCCGCGUGAGUGAAGAAGUAUUUCGGUAUGUAAAGCUCUGUCGGCAGGGAAGAAAAUGACGGUACCUGACCAAGAAGCCCCGGCUAACUACGUGCCAGCAGCCGCGGUAAUACGUAGGGGGCAAGCGUUAUCCGGAUUUACUGGGUGUAAAGGGAGCGUAGACGGCAGGGGAAGUCUGGAGUGAAAGGCGGGGGCUCAACCCCCGGACUGCCCUGGAAACUGCCAGGCUUGAGUGCAGGAGAGGUAAGUGGAAUGCCUAGUGGAGCGGUGAAAUGCGUAGAUAUUAGGAGGAACACCAGUGGCGAAGGCGGCUUACUGGACUGUAACUGACGUUGAGGCUCGAAAGCGUGGGGAGCAAACAGGAUUAGAUACCCGUGUAGUC